GCAGCCUUUGGAGCCAUCCGAAGGCACUGCCUGCACCUUGUGAUCUCCUCGGCUGAAUGAAUGUGUCAAACCCGGCCCCAGCUCCAACACAGCCCUCCGGUGUGCCAGGGUACUGUUACAUCCGUCUUCCCUCAGCCUCCCCAUCCCUAUCACAGAUUCUUUUAUUUUUUUUAAAGAAGAAGGAAGUUUUCACAAGUUAGAAAAGGGGGAAAAAAAUGUCAACUGUCAGCUCCUGAAUGGCCUGUCAGAGACCAAGGCAAGGACCAGCCCUCCUUCAGCUCCGUGUGCAGUUACAACCUCAGCUGCAGAUUAGAAGUACUUUGUUUGUGAUUCCUGGGUGUUCUGCACUUGAUGCAUCAUCUCCUGACAGAUGCAGGGAAAACUCCGCUCCUCCCAUCUGGCCUGGAUUGCAAUGAUGUAUUAAGUGGGGCAGAGUAGUAGGAGUCCUGGUGGAAGCAGUGCAUCUGAAGUGAACCUAAGGACAAGUUCACUUGUAUGUAGAAGAGACUGCCAUUGACGUGGAUUCUCCACUCAGGACCUCUGAUCAGAGCAAUGACAAGCGUUCCUGUUCUGCCCCAUUAAUGUGGAACUUCUGGUUUCUUCAGGAGUUUCCUGGAGGAGGAAAUGAGGUGUUCAUACCAGAGGGCUUUGUCUGGAGACCUGGCCCACCCUGCUCGCGCAGCUUUCUUGGCGUGUGACCCUGCUUAAUGCUUCUCAGACAUAGACAGCCUGGAUGGAGCUGUGAUGUCUCCUAUAGGAAGCCAGGAUGGUACUGGAAGGAACAGAGAUGAGAGAGAGAAGGAAGGAGAGAAAGAGAGAGAGAGGAAGAAAGGUAAGGAAUUGCCUCAUCCUCAUUUCUACUCCCUGCUGUAAACAAGGGUGUGUGGGACACAAGACAAGACAAACAGAGUUGGGCAUUGCAAAGAAGAGGCAUCUUCCUGUUCCACACUUCUCUGAAACAUUCUCCAUGCAUGUUCUAGUACCAUCAUCUUUUUCCAGACCUGUUUUACAGGCAUUUUUAAUGAUUCCAGGGGAAAAUGAGACUCAACUGUCUGCUUGAUAAACCCACCCAAAGCUGCCCAGACUUGGGGAGGUUGCCACUUUGUCUGGAAGCAUUAUUUAUCCUCGGUGCAGGCUCUGUAGUUCCCUUCCAUGUUGAAAAUGAGGAGGAAGAAAUUUCCAUCAGGCUCAGAAAGUUCCUUUCCAUGCUGAACAGGAGGAAAAAAUUUCCAGUUGCUGGGCCAGCACAAGCCAAGUCCCAAACUGAACAAAGAAUGGGCAGUGCAUUCAGGGAUAAGUAAAUUCUCUUCCCCCAGCCUUGGGGAGUUUAUUGCCCUCCACAAAGUAUGCAGUGUGGCUGUCAUUCCUGAGCAGCCCAGGCAGGCUGUUAAAUGACAAGGGAAAAUUACCCAGUCUGUUCUCCAGAAGGCAAGUGAGUAGGAAUUUUCCUCCAACUGGUUCAGGACAAAGUUAAUGUAGGGAAAGCCAUUAAAAUUAAUGCUGGUAAACAAGGAUAGAAACCAGCGGGGUUUUAACAAAAUUUGGACCAGAUUGGGUUUCCCAGCUGUCAUGCUGCACACUGUCUUGAAGGCAGGGGACAGAGGGAGGAGGUAAGCUGAGCUCAGAAAAGUCUUGCUGGAAAGGGCUGUGGGAUGGGGUGGGGGCAUCUGGGCUCAUUUGGCACCAACUUUAGGGUCCAGCCCUCUAAUACCUUCAGGCUGGCUGUCUCUUUCUGGGAAGCAAUGAAGCUGUUUUUUUAACAAUGGCUAUUACAUGUUUUAUAUAUUCUUGUUAUGCAUCUGCUGUUCUCCAGAGGCUGCCCUCCCCAUUCAAGCCCUGCUUUAGGCUCUGGCUAUGUGUCCACAUGGUUGCUGGCUGCAUGUGUUUUGUGUGAGCUGGUUUGGGAGCAGAUCUUGGGCUCCAAGAAACUUAUCCUGGAUUCGAAUGGGAAAGGUGUAAAGAGGCACAGCUGUGUGUUACUACUCUCUUCUAGGCAAACGGCUUUUUCCAACCCCACAGCAUGCUAACAUGUGCCAGGCAACUUCCCCAGAAUUACUGGCGCUGGAUGUUCAGCUGACUUGACACACUUUGGAGUGAGUCAAAUCUGGUAUAACCAAUCCAAAAUUUCUAGCCCCAGAAGUAAUGCCCCAUAUUUUCAUGUGGCCGCUGAUGGUGAGAAGAGAGAGGUACAAAAGCAGUCAGCCACUUUCUUGCAGUGUCAGAGGGAGUUGGAUUGUAUAUUUGGAAAAAGGAACACAAGAGUCUGAGCACUGCCACCUUUAGCACAGAUGCUGACAUCUAUAGAAAACUUUCUGCUCCACAAGUCAUGAAAACAACGGCAGAAAUAUCCUUUGAUUUCUCAAAAAGUAUCAUAUCCUUGUAUACCUUCCUAAUGAGGCUGUGUUUGCUUAGAGUUCAAUGGUUUAGAUAGUGCUGUUCUGAAUGGUCAGGUUUUGCAGGUUGGGUGACUUCUGGAAUCUCCAUGCAGCAACUCACAGAGCCAAGUGAAGCUGCUGAGAUAAGGAGCUGUGAUGUCUCCAGCCCAGUGCAGGGAACUAGAGCUGGAUGUCUGAAGUUAUCCUCUCUGAAGAGAAGGAGGACAGUCUGGACAGGUCACACCUCUUGCUGGAAUGGAAAGCAGUGUGGAGAGAGGCCCAACACACUCUUUUGGAGCUCUCAUCCCUGUGGGAAUCCACAGGCUUCCUCUGUGGGGAGGCAUCAGCCCCUUUUCACCAGUCAAGCUGCUGUCAAGUUUGUAUCUCAGAGGUGGAGAGCUUUCUUUUGGUUUUCAUGCGACAUCACCAAAGAAUCAGGGUGACAGAAUUCUUUUUGUGGAAGUAACUAUGUGAAACAUUUUUUUAUUUGAAUUAUUUGAAAACUAAAACUGUUCUUGGGUUUUAAAAUUCAUGUCCCCUCCAGGUUGCUUUACUUUGUUUUAUUUCUUAUUCCUUCUCCCUUAUUCCUCAGAGGAAACCAUCCAAACCUACACAGUGUGUUAUUUCUUCAAGAAAUGCAAUCGUUUUGCAGUCAAACCUAGGCUGGAAAUGCUUCUGGUGAUUCAUUUGUCUGAGAAAUUUAAAAAGGCUUGGAUGGAACAGAAACCAGACUGGUUCAGAGAGAGUUUUCUUGUGUGUGAAGACCCACUUUAGCAGGGGAGGUGGGGUUUUUUUGUUGUUUUUUUGGGUUUUUUCAUAAAAUAAAUUUUUAUAGGCUUUGUUUGGGAGACUUGGGCUCCAGCCAUUCUUCUGUUGCAGCUUUUUGUAUUGUACCAAGAUCUGGAGUCUGGCUAUCCCAGUUCCUGCUUCCCAUGUCUGCUGCAUUGAAGGUUCCAUGAUUCCACUGCCAGUUCCAUGAUUCCUUUGUUCUUUAGGGUCACUGCUUCUGCAGGGUGGGAUGGACUUGAUACCAUUUUUACCUUGACUGUACUUUGUAUCACAAGUCUUUCCCACACACCAGUAUCAUAUUGGUGCACAGCUGUGUCUUGAGGGCAGCAGGGAUCUCCUGCUAUCACAUGGUGAGGGGUCCAGGCCCUCCACUCAUCUUUAGGAUCUGCUCAAGCCCCUCCUCACCAAGAACCUCUUCGUGAAGAUUCCCAGCAUUCAGUGAGGUUCAGAGCCAGGAACCAGGAAAGCAGAUUCGUGGCUGGUAACCACCACAAGUCCCCUGCAGAAUACCUUUUAGGCCUUCAGUUUCCUCAGCUGUAAGCCAAGCAUUUUUAAAUGGUGUGCUUUUUGAGACAUGCCUUUCUGUUCCCUCAGAGAACAGGGACUUGUGGAAAACCUCCAGGUAGUGGCUGAAAUCAGAUGAGCUGGUAUGUCACAUCCCAAGAGUAAUCCUGUUUCUGGAGAUUACUCUUAUCUCCAUGGAUGUCCCAGAGUUAGCUUGAUUGGAGGCAAGGAGUACCAUGGAAACGGGACUGGGUGGAGAGGCUUGGGCAGUGGGGAAGUUUUCAGGGAUCAGGAGUGGUGGCAAGUGCCAAUCUGUCUGAAAAGAGAGCAAGAAGUGGCCUGGAUAGAGGAGACCACCACUCCUUUAAUGACUGCUGUGAGAGCUGCCACCUCUGCUGCCUAGUGCUGGCCAGAUCCAUGGUGUGACUGCUCAUCUCCAGUCCCUGCCUUCUCUGUGCCCCACAUGCUGCUUUUCCUAUAAAUAGUCUGGUGGGAAGCAGAGCAUGGAGCCACCACAGAUGGCCCCCAGUUACAUGUGCAGUCAUGUGUGAAAUCCCAGAUAGGAGUUGUCAAUACUUUGCCUCGAGCCACCCAUGAAACCUCAUUAAAAAUGGUGUCCUCUUCCUUAACCCCCAUCACCCCCUCGCUUCCCACUCCAACUCGCCUGCGUUCAGGCACCCUUAUUAAACAUGCACUUCUAAGCAAGGAGCGCUGACUUUCCCUUAAUUGAGGCAUAAUAAUUAGAGCAUUAACACAUUAGGAGGGUGAGACAGCAUGUUUAGCUUUUGUGAUUAAUUAUCUGAGGAUUGUAAUAAGUUGUUAAGACAUUAAUUACUCUGGCAUGUUUAUUGCUCUUUAUUGCAGUACAGACACUUGGUAGCAGCAAGUGCUGGUUCAUCUGGAGAUGGAGUAAGAAGUGGUCUGACAGUAGCAGACCACCUACUCACCCACAAAACAGUGAGCUGCAGCUGGUGGCAGCAUGGUGGGGAAAUCCCCCGGGUGUGCCUUGGUGACCAAAUAGGUUUAUUUCUCACAGAUGGAUAUCAAAAUGGUACCUGAGUCCCUUAGGACAGUUCAGGACCUGGAAAGUCCCUUCUGAUCUUUUUAUCUGGAUUUUUCUCCUCUUUCAAAUGAAGUGUUUCCUUCCUAUGCUUUGAGCUCCCAUUGAUCUGGGUCAUUGUGUUGCCAAGCUUGAUUAUCAUGGCUCAGUCUCUGUUUGGACCUUACCAGGAAGGUUGUCUGUAUUAAAGAAAGGUUGAAGUUUGGAGUGUCAGCAGAGGCCAAGGAAUGAACCAGGACUCCACUGGCCUCCCUCACCCUGCCAUUGCAUGACUUUUCCUUUGGAGUUUGGGGAUAUAGGUUAGGGAAGGGGUUGGAAAGACUUGGACUGCUGUAGCCUCCUCUUUGCACAUCAAGCUUCCAUGUGGGUUGGGCAGGUUGGGACUGAUGGCAGAGUUCAGGCCUGGAGGAUGAGUGGUUCUUGUGUGUUCCUUAAACUCUGAGAAAGAGAAAACACAAUGUCACAAAAAUAGACUUGUCAUCAAAUCAGCAGGAUGACGUGGUAGACCUGUUCCCAGUCUUCUGCUCUUCCCAUGGGGUACUUAGGCUGAUGCAUCCUUUCUACCCAGCCUCUACUUGCAGUUGUCUGGCUGGGAGGAACAGGGGAGACAUGAUGGCAGCCCCAACAACUGUCACAGACAAAGAAACUUGUGAAUAUUAUGAAAAACAAGAUGAUGGGGAAGCCAUAGGAGGAAUGUGUUGAUAUCAGUUUCCUUUGGGACCCCUGGAACCCAAUGUUCCCUGCCUCUAGGCUGUUCUGUGUCUUCAUGUUAUUGCAACAUGUGCCUGUGUCUGAUGGAUGCAGGGGGCAGGAAGGGGAGAUCAUGAGUUGCCUCUUUUUAUAGUUAAAACACAAGAUGAUCCUGACAAGUCUUUAUCCUUCCAGGACUGACCCAGUGGUUACUUGCCCUGUGGCUUCCACCAGCUAAAGCCAGUGUCACUGCCACUCAGUUGUGUGAACAGCUGGGGAGGGAAAUGCCCUUGCCUGUGUGUAAUCUGGGAUUUAUCCUGUGUCAGCUGAAUGUGAUUUGCUGCCUUCAGCCCCUCAGAGCCUGGUCUGCCUCUCGCUUGCCCAGUCUGGGAUUGGAAUUCAUUCUCAGGGACCUGCUCUCUGCAUUCAGAGUGUGGGAGUGUGGGACGUGUCAGCCUGGCAUUUCCUGCUCCAUGCCUGGGGACAAGGCAGGUCAUGGCUUAUGCAUUUUAUCAUUACAAAGAGAAUUUCCUCUAGAUGUGUGCAAUAAGACAGUGGUACUGACCUGUGAUCCUGGCAUUGAGCAGCAUUAAUGACUCCCCUUUGCAGGUAAUAAGCAGCAAAUGUACACAUUUUGGGGAGAUCUGAAUAUUUUUUUCUCUUUUUAACUCUGCUGUCUUCCUAGGCCAGACUUAAUUAGCAGACCUCAUUAUUUCCUGAAAUGUAACUUGACUUCUAUUGAAUGAGAAUUGUUCAGUGGAUGGGAAGCAGCAGAGCAGUGCUGCAAUAUUCAUAUUGUUUUAAUUGCAACAUUAACAUUUCAUGCCGCUCUUGGCACACUUUCAGGUGCAGCCCUUUAGCUCAAUGCAACACUGUGAAAGGUUGGAUCAGAACAAUUAGGAUAGAGUGACUGGAUUUCUGGAUUUUCUUUUUUUUCUUCUAUUUUAAUGAACAUAAGCUUGAAUUCAGUCCCCAUCCCCCUUUUCUUGGGCAGAACAGGGAGUCACCACCCCUGGAGUAGAAUUUUUUUUUUUUUUUUUUUUAGUAAAGGAUGUGCUGUAGCACAUGUUUAAAUUCUCUUUUUGUGGAGCUGAAGCCCCAUAGAUACAAGUGAUAUGUGAUCCACCAGGCUGAAGACACCUCCUGGGACCUGACCUUUACCAGGUGAAUCAGAGAAGUCCCAAAAUGUGUCUGGCCAGCUGGGAUAGUGUCACAAAUGAGCUGGAGGAAAAAAGGUUAUUUCUCAUUUCUCAGUUUCUGCCAGGGCUCUGGAAUGCCUGAGGCUGGAAGUAGCACUCCAGAUGGGUAACAACUGGGUUAUCAGUGCAGAUCCUAAAUGAGCACAGGGAUCACCUUGCUCUAUCCCUAAACUGCAUACAAGGUUUGGCUUUCUGACAGAGGGGUCAGACAGCACUGACAGGCUGGGCUCAGCAAGGUUUAGUCACACUGGGUGACGUGAGAACGCUAAUUGAUUCUAAGGGAAAACUAGGAGAUUGUUUUAACCCCUUCAGAAGGAAGAAGAGUUUCUGAGGGUCACUCUUUCCUUCUGGGGGAAGGACACCCAUGCUGCUGCCUGCCUGCCAGCCUCAUGCAGGUCUGUACUGGGGCUGGUGUGUGGGGCUGGUGGGCAGCAAGGACCUGUGUGUGGAGGAAUCGGCUCCCUCUGGCUCACAAGGUGCCACCCAUCAGCCAACAGCUAAUGAGCAGCUUGACGUGUAAGUGAUCCUGCUGAGAGCUCAUCAGGCACUGCCCCGACUCUGGGCUGCCUUCCUGGCAUUUCCUGGCAGCAGUCUUUGAAUGAAACAUCUUUAUGGGAGGUGAAAUCUCUGUCCAUGCAGUGGAGAAGCAAUGGGAGAGUUGUGGGGGUGAGGGAGCUGCUUGGCCCUUCAGUUCUCACCCUUGGAGCUGGGCAUAUCACUUCCAGUUUAGGCAGCAGCUGAACUCAUCCCUAAGUCUGGGAGGGUAAUUAAAGCUGGAAAUGCAGUAGGAUUUCAGCUUGGUCUCUUGAAGAAGGACAAGGGAACAACACACAUUCCAUUUCCAUGGGCUUUCCAAAGGUUAACAUGCCGUCUUAGCUGGCUGGCUCUCCUAUCAGCCAAAUAGGCCUGAAAUUUUCUGCUGUUAGUACUAUUUGCAGUAGGAUCCAUGAAAUCUCAUCUUCUGUGGAUGUACCAUUUGAAUUUGGAGUCUCUGGUGUCCAGUAAGUUAUUUGUGCUGAAUGGAAUAUCUCCCUUUCCUGGGAUAUUUAUAGCAUCUCUCCCACACAAAUUGUCUGAUGUCUGAUAAGAAAUGAUAAACUACAGUUUGGAAGAUGCUAAUAAUGUCUCUCCUCUGUUUGGUAGUCUGUUCCCAUGAAAUUUAUAGACUCUGACUGUCUCCAAGACCUCUGUUGCUCUGUCACAUCAGCUUGAAAUCUGUUUGCAGUGUCAGAAGAUGCUGGGGAGUGGGCAGAGGACAGACUGAUGCAGCAGGAUUGCACAUGCUUCGCACUCCGUGGGAAAUCAGGCUGAAAAUGCGCAGAUCUGGGGACGGGGGCAGCUGUGGCUAGGAUCACAGAGUUGAGUGUUUGGGAAAGCGAUGCGGUUGUGUGGGAGGAAGGUGAUGCGCUCGGAGCGCUCCGCCCCGGGGCGAGCAGCGAGUGCCGAGCGUGGCUCUGGUGGGAAACAGCCCCGCGGAGGAUAAACGAGCCAGCCCAGAGCUCCUGGCUGGGGUGAAGAAUUGCCUGGCUAAAGGAUAAUGAAUGCCACAGCAGGAGAUAGAGCGUUUCUCUGAGGCUAUUCAUCCCCUUUAUCAGCAUGCUAACAAGCCCCAGAGCGACUUUAGAGAGACUUCUCUGGAGCAGCGCCAUCCCUCAGCCGUGCUGCUGGCUGGGUGCUGGGGAUCAGGGACACUGCAUGUGGCAGGAGCACUCAGCAGAAAAACCAUGGACCGGCUCUCAAAUAACAGCCCCAGGUCUGGGUCUCUGCUCUGGGGACUUGCCUUUGGUUUAGCUGGUGUUGAGACCAUGCCCUCCUUCAGACUGUGGGUGGUGCCACCUGAGAGAGCCAGAUGUAAAUGCCAAGCAUCCAUCUUUUCUAAAGUACUUUUGGGCAGCACCUGCAGCACCCUUAGGAGGAUUGCUCCAUCCUAACUCCCAGCUUGCCUAAGAUUUAAGAUGUUUAUACAAGACUCAAGAGGAAUUUGGGGCUGCCAGCACAUAGGUAAGUUGGUUCUGCUUCACUUGCAGCACAGCUGAGCCUGUGCAUGAGCCUUGUGAGAGGAGGAAAGGGCAGGAGUGAUGCACUCUUCAUAAGAGCUAAUAAAAGCUAAUCCCUCCCUUUGUUCCAAGACAGUGGGAAGCUGGCUGAGUGCCUCUUCCACUGUGGGAGUGUGCUGGGUGCCUCUGCCUCCCCUCUGGCUGGGAGCAAAGCGUGUCCUCCCAUGGAGGGGAAGGCAUUUCUGGCAGAGCUGUGCUGCCUGCAACUGCUCUCUGUAGCUGCCAUGCCUCCUGGGAAGGAAAAACUGCCAGAGAACCCAGACAGGUGAGUCUGGGAAUGAGGAUGGGCAUCCCUUGGGCAAUCUCUCAUGGCAGGCCUCAGCUCCAAGCUAGUGCCUUGCCUCUGCUCCAGGACUUGGGCCAUGGCUUGUGGGAGCAGAGGGGAGCAUCACCUCUGAUUUGACUGGUGUAUAUGAGACCCUCAGAAAGGUUGGAGCCAGUUGAGCCAAAAUAGGUGCCCAAAUAGGUUGGCAUACCUCCACCAACCAGCCCUUGUGCUCACCUGUGCCCUGUAUGUGUAGGUACAAGCUGAGCCACCCUGCCAAGAGUGAUUUAUGUCUGGGGCCUAGUGCAUAGUGGGUGAUCAAGUAGAAAUAAUUCCCAAUAAUUGGAAGUUUUUACUUUAUCAUCCUGUGUGUUUUCUUAAUUUCUCUUUCUUCUCCUCCUCCAAGUUUAGCUGUUGGGGAAUGCAUUUUGUGUGGUCCAUGGUAGGCACCCCACAACCAGUGCUAGUGGGAGAAGGGAAAGCAAACAAGGGAGUUCAUGUUGUGUUUGGGUGUCCUCAACAAAUGCUGAUAGUAGUUUUAUAGGGGCAAAAAACGAGGAGAAAAACUGCAAAGCUUUGCAGAAAGAGGGGGUAGAGUGCCAUAAUAGAUAAUUGGGUGGUUCCUGUGUGGGGAGAAACAGCAGGAGAGCAGCAGGUGGUGGGGAUGGCCUGGAAUGUGUUUGCAGAGCUGUGGAGCAGAGGAGAAACUGUGUCAUGAUGGAGCCAGGUGUCUCCUUGAGUGCAAGCAGCACAACAGCUAGAGGAUUGUAAACCUAAUUUUUUCUCUCUUUUUUUUAAAAUCAGGAGAUCUCCAAGCAUUUUAAAAGGAAGCUAACAUCACAGAUUGAAAAACUUCCCAUCUUGAGGCUUCAGUGACUAAGGUUGAAGACAGCCAGAGGAACCUAGUGUUCUCUCUCAGGGGCUGCCUGUGGUGCUGCAUUAACAUCACAUUCUAUGGUGAAGGUAAGCUAUUUCUCAGUGUUCCCUGAGACAUGGUCUCAGAGGGAGCCCCGUCUCUCCACUCUCCCUGGGUGCCUACCACUUGCGCAGCCUUCUGAGAAGGGGCUCCCUGGCUGGGAGGGUGAAGGCUUGGAGAUAUUUAUGCCUUUUGGGAUUGGUUUUAUCAAGAAUGGGAUUUGAACUCCCUGAGAGGGAGGUGACACAGCUUGGCAGCUAGGGAAUUGGUUUGGAACAUCAGAACAAAUGUCUGCUGGUUUUGUAUCAUUCUCAUGUUAAGUUACCUCUCAUGUGGCGCUCCUCCAUUUCAGAACUGAGAGCAGUCAAAACGAAGGAAAACAUGGCUCCCGAGCAUUUUUCCCCCCUAUGAUGCCUUCACUUUUCUUCUACAAUCUCACUGGCUGAGUUUCACUGCCAGCCUAUUGAAAGGAAAGGCACGUGCUGGCUUUUGGGGGGAGAGAGACCUGAGACAGGAUAAAUCUGUAUGCAAUGAGAAUGGAGGGAAGCAAGUCAGCUGCUGUGACACUUUUAUUAUGGAGCCAGGCUGCUUGGGGAUGAAUCUUUCUUGAAAUGUGUUGCUGGAUGACAUUUCUACCAGGUCUCAGCAGUAACCUUCACCAAGCCUUGCUGCCCAGCCCUGUGCUUGCCUUUUCCCGGGACAAACAGAAUGAAUAUCAGCUGGAAAUACCACAGGCACCAGGGAUCAAUGGGGCUCAGUGCACCUCCAGGGAGACUGAAGGCACCUGGACUUUCUCACCAGAAGCUCUUCAGGUUUUGGUGACUUCAGCUUAUGGCAGCAUGUGUUGUUUUGCAAUGAAGGUGUGGGCUCCUACAUCUGUUUCUCAUUUCAGAAACAAAGAGAAUGCAGCAGAGACCAAAAUGAGAUUCUCCUUGGAGUUGCCCAGAAGGAUGGAUAACUGCAAUAAAAUAUUAUUCCAUGGCUCUGGAAAAGAGCUUGUUUAGUAACCUAGUAAUGAGGUGCUGGCUCUGCUCUGUGCAGAGGCUCGAAGCCACGGGAGACUUGGGGCUACAAAGAGGGCUGGGCAGAGUUUGCUGCCCUCUCAGCUUCUUUCCUGUAUAACUGUCAACUUAGAUUUCACAUCAAGGGGGUGAUGUUAUGGCUGGCGGUAACAACAGCAGAAUGUCACUGGCAGAGGUGAAAUCUUUCCCUCCGUGAGGGUAAUUCUUCCUUCCCUUUCCCCUUCCCCCUGGCUUGCGUAGGGACCUGCUGGCUCCUGGUGCUGAACAGGGCAGGCACACAUGCUGCUUGGGGGACAGCAUAUACUGUGCUGAGCAGCACUUUCUGCUCUCUGGGUCAAUGGCUCCAUGUCACUGAUGCCUCUUGGCUGCAUGGUGACCUGGGACAGAGGGAAACCCCUUGUCACUGCCUGAAAUAAUCUGGGGCAAUUGGAAGCUGCUAUGUUGACCAUCAUGGCAGCAUUGCACAGAGUGGUCCUCUGCCAUGCUGGCAGGCUUGUAUACCAGCAGGAGGUCUGCCAGGGAUGUCCCUUCAGAGCCCUGGGGGCCCCUAUGCUCUUUAGGGCCAGGCCUAAGCUAGGUCCAGGUCUGAGGGGCAGACUUACAUGCUAAUGGUUCAUCUUCUCUGCAGGCUGCUUCUCACCUCCUCUGAGCAGGAGCUGAUCUUGCAGAAAAGUGCCUGUGCUGACCCUCUCCAGCAGCCCUUCUACCAGCAUCUGUCCCCAAGGGCCAGUUCAGCAAAGCCUUGGUGUUGUUUUGGGUCCAGUUUUCAUUUUUCAGCUGGUUAUGGAGAAAAGGAUGAAGGUAACUGGUGCUGCCAGGCCACAGUAGAAAGCAGAGGAAGGAGACUGGCCUCUUAAUGUGCUUAAAGAUCCAAAAGUUUAAUCUGACUCUGCUUCUCUCUCAGCCCUGAUGCUGUUGUAACUUUUCCAGCUGAUACCUGAGCCUUUUUUUGUUUUGCUGUUUUUUCUUGUUCCCUUUUUACCCUCACUUUAUGAAAAAUGGCUUUCUCAUCUGCAUCUGUCAGGAGUCUGCCUGAGCUGGGUGUACAGCUCAGUGAAUAUACAAAUGUGCGGUUGGGUCGUGGCCCCCACUGACAGGCUGGAGAUGAAUUCCAAACAUGCAGGGAGAAGGGCUUCUGCUGCCUCUCAUGGUUGUUUUUCUUAUUCCAAGGAAGUGUGAGAAUCGCCUUUGGGAGCAGGGCUUCCUUCUGCUCCUGCUCUGCCUUACCAAGGAUCAGUUCUCUCUCAUCCAUCAUCAGAUGAGUCCUCCUUGCUCAUACGUCUCAGCUGCUGAUGGGAAUGCUGGGGAAAGGGAAAACUUUUUAAUGUUGAUUUUUACUACUAUUCUUUUCCUUCCCUCUGCCGUUUGCAUCCCACCUCUUAGGCCCAUGACAAUGCAAUUGGCGGCUGGGACUUGAGGACACUUGCUCGUCCAGGUACUUUUAAAGAGAGUUAAGGAUGAGGUAGAGGGAAGGGCUUUAUUUUGUAUAAUCAUAGAGUAUUCUGAGUUGGAAUUCACAAGGAUCAUCGAGUCUAAAUCCUGUCCCUGCACAGGACACCGCAACCAUCCCACCAUGUGUCUGAGAGCAUUGUCCAAAUGGUCCUUGAGCUCUGGCAGGUUUGUGGCUACAACCACUGCCCUGGGGAGCCUGUUCCAGUGCCCAGUCACCCUCUGGAUGAAGUACAUUUUGCUAAUACCCACCCUAAACCUCCCUGACACAGCUUCAUGCUGUUCUUUCGGGUCCUGUUUGCUGGUCACCAGUUUGACCUCAGCCCCUUAAGGGGCUUAAAAUGCAGCUUUGGAAGUUUUCAGCAGUUGUGCAUGACUCCACAUAGGAUGCCCUGAAAGCACCCAAAUGUUCCUGCACAUUUCAGCCUCGCUGUGUCUCCUUUCCCUGCUGAAGCUGACCAGAGCCAUGGGGCUCUCCAAGGAGGAGUUCACCCUCUAUGCUGUGUAACUGCAGGGUCACUCAAGUGCCCAAAGGGAGUUGACAGCCUGCCCUGACACCCAUGGAUUUGCUGAGCUGCUCCUGCCUCUUGGCUUUCUGCAGGCUGGAUGCAGGUGAGCUGUUUGCCUCACCCUUAUGGACAGAGAAGCUUACAGCCAGGUGGGCUCAGAGGAGCAGGCAGGCAGAAAAUGAAGUGAGUCUGUCUAUCCACGCUCUUGCCACAGUUACCUGGUCAAGGAGGGGAGGUUUCUGGGAGGGUAGACCCCCACUUUGGCAGGAAGAGAGAGCAGGCAGCUUGAGCUGAGCUCAUUUUUUGACAAGCAGAUGGAUGUUCAGUGGGGACCCGUGAAAACCCUCUCACUCCAGGCUGCAAGCCCUCCAAACUAAAGUGUUGUGCUGACAUGGAAAAAAGUAUUGCUUCAUUGAUGCUCAGCCUGAAUUGCUUCUUCCAUUCGAUUCAGGACACAGCGACAGCCUGCUCCUGUCACCAGCUCCCAUGAGGAGCCAGCUGCACACCUGCAGCCAGGCAAGGAGGGAGCCAGAGCUGUUGAGCCACGAGGAAGGCGACCGAUGGCAGAUUCCUCCAGCAUUUCCACCCCGUGGGGCUCUUGGCGAGCGAGUGCUCGUCUGCUUUGAAAGCUCUUAGUGCUCCUGCAGUUCAGCACUGAAUAAUGAGCCUGCAAGCCAGAGGGAGAACUCCCGAGAGAAGCGCCAGUGUUCAGGAGAUGGACACAAGUGUCUCAGAUGGGUGCUCUUCCUCAGUUUUGAUGGCUCUUGGACCUACCAAAACCUGGUUGACUCGUUCCUGGUACCAUGACACAGAAGUUGUUUGCAGCCCCAUAUCUGACUCUGUGGGCUCAAACACCAGCUAGGAAGCCAAGGACUGAGCUGCUGCAGCCUUAGAAGGAAGCAUUUUCAGAAGAAACACUUGCAAUCGCCACCUCCCUCUCAGCCUCUUCACUGGUUUCUGAGAGCAGCUGAGCAUCCUUGACCUCUCUCUCAGGCAUGGUUCCCUGCAUGUAUCAGCCCUGCUCUGGUGUUGUGAAGCUGUUGCUGGCAUCUGUAAUAGCUGUGUUGUUUACUUCCCAAGUGCCUGCCCUUUCUGUAAUGAGCUGUAAUUCAUCCUGGUUUAUACAGGGCUCAGAGAUACCUGGAGCAAGGAGGCUGUGCCAUUAAGCCACCUUCUAGACUGCUCUCUGGACCUGGGAUUGCUGGUCUCCUGGAGAUGUAAAACGGGAAGGACAAGGGGGACCAGAUGGAAAUGGGGAAUAAUUACCUUGCAGGGUAAAGGGGGUGGCUGGGUUGGAAACUGCUGGGAGCUGACACGCAGGUGCAGAUGCAUGGUUACAGCAGGCAGGGUAGAGGGAUGAAAGAUGCCAUUUUAAAACAUCUGCCUCCCUUUCUUCCUCUGCUUUAUAACCUGUUUUUAUAGAGACUGCAUGAGGACAGGAACACAUUUUUUUUAUUAGCAGCUUGGGAGUGGAGAGUAAUAAAGAUUAAAUUUUAAAAAUAAUUCUUUGCAUUAUCUUUUAAUUUCCUGUGGCAGGGUUUGACUUUUAAAUCUGCAAAUGGACUUAACUGCUAAUUUGCUCAUCAGUUCAGAAGUGGCAGCCAGAGGAGCUGUGGGACUCAGUGAAGGUGGGAGAGGCCCCAGAGUUGAGCCUGGAGUCCCAGGAAAGGCUGUUCCACAGUCUUCCCUGGCCAGAAGGAUCCAUUCAGGUCCACAGCUGUAUCUCAAUCCCAGCAAACUUGGAGAGAUCUAGUCCAUACUGCAGCUCACGGUGGUGCCCAUUUUGCUUCCUUCCACUGGUGGUGAUGAUGGGCUCCUGUGAGGGGGAAGGAGGAAAGCCU